CUCGUGUUCUGUGGUAUUUGCAGACACUUUAGACUUAAUGGCAAAGGUUGAAAGGUUCAACUUAUUUGAAUUGAAUGGCUCUUGAUAGUAGGGCCUUUUGACUUGAUCUCAGUAGUGUUCAAAUUGAUAUAAUCCAUCCUUAAGCUUCCCUUCCAACAAUACCUCCUUUGUUUGUUUGUCCUUAACAACACAAAAAUCAGAGUGUAACUGCACAAAUACACCAUUAUCAGCAGUCAAUUGUGAGACACUUAUCAAAUUUUUCUGGAUUGAUGGUACCAGUAGAACAUUACUGAGAACCAAUGAUUUGUUAAUACAUGUUCUCAAGUGAUUUGUGCCAAUGUGAGAGAUAUGAAGUUUAUUUCCAUUACCAACAGUAAGACUCUCCUUACCACCAUACUCAUGUGCUUCAAACAAGUUCCCUUUCUCACUAGUUACGUGAUUUCUUGCUCCUGUGUCUGCAAACCAUGCUGGAUUUGAAACAGUUCUUGAUGAGGCCACAAGUGUAGCUAGUUCUGAGAAGUUGUGUUGAUAGUACUGAUUAGGUUUGGUACCUAUGUAUCUCUCAUCAUAACGGUUGAAGCACUUCUUAGUUGAGUGAUUACUCAUCCCACAGAUUUGACAUGGUCCUUUACUUCCAAUUGGCCUGCCUCCUCUGCCCCUGCUUCUUCUUCCUCUGUUAUUAGAGCUUCUUCCACCAUAGUUAAAUCUUCAUCCUCUGUUUGUGUUGGAUUUUUGCAUAAAAUUUGCUGAGGCUUGACUUAAGUUAAAUGAGGUUAGGCUGCUUUACACAACAUUUAGAUGUUCAAUCCUGCUUUCAUAGUUCAUUAGUUUGGAU
rnacentral:lncRNA from 1 species